UAGGGCCACAUCACAUUUGAAAUACCGGUUCCCAUACAAUCAUGAAGUUAAGCAACAUCGAACCUGGUCAGUACUUAGAUGGAUGACCACUUGAGAAUACUGGGUAC